rnacentral:rRNA from 1 species
UGGGUAACCUGCCUCAAAGAGGGGAAUAGCCUCCCGAAAGGGAGAUUAAUACCGCAUAAUAUGUUUUAGUCGCAUGACUUAAACAUCAAAGGAUUUUUCUUUUAGAAAUUCCACUUUGAGAUGGACCCGCGGCGCAUUAGCUAGUUGGUGAGGUAACGGCUCACCAAGGCAACGAUGCGUAGCCGACCUGAGAGGGUNAUCGGCCACAUUGGAACUGAGACACGGUCCAGCUCCGUAGGAG